rnacentral:lncRNA from 1 species
AGGAUGCUGCUGGACUCCGCCCGCGCAGGGGACAGGCACACAGCUCGGGAGCAGGUCACCACUGCACGGCGCACCCCAGUGGGGCCUCGAGGAAGCAGAGAACCGGUGUACGCCAGCAGGGAGGACGCCGGGAGCAGCUGGGCCCUCUGCAAGAGCCGGCCUGAGGCGGACCCAGGGUCACAGCUGCGCUCAAGCUGUGCAGAGCAGCGACAUGGAAAGGAUGUGCAGCUCUGGUGGUGCCGCCCGCCCGACAUGCGCUGCUGGGCCCUGCAGGGACGGAGGACGCCACCGUGCUCACCUGCACAGUGGCCACUUAGGACCCAGCACUCGCAGCCUGCGGGAACGGAAGACGAGCGACGGCCUGGCUUUCAGGCCACUGAGUGAAACACACAGGGCCUCGGCCUGGGCGCAGCAGUGUCCCCUGGGAAAGUCCUCCUCACACGGGUUGGCCCCCUUCAAUCACGUGCGACUCUUGAGCCACUGUGUGACAGCGACGCGCAGGCUCCACAGACUACCCCCGAGGAGCACGGGACCAGGCUGCCCCUCUGCCCGAGUCUGAACCGUGUUUCUCUGGGUUGGGGUCAGACCUGGUCAUGAACAAGACCUGAUGUGGGAGGAAGGAAAGGGGCAAAAUGUGUUAUGUGGAUCUGAAACUCACAGCAGGGGCAAACUCAGUUCUGAUUUGCUAUAAACACAUUAGAACCCUCAGAAAGGAGAGUGACACAGGAGCCCCUUUGCUGGCUGCAUGGUGUUAGUGGCAUCGACACCCUGGGCAUCCGUCUGCCAGGCCCCAUGGCAGCUCUCGGUCCCCACGGCAUGCACUCCCUGAGGGGCCAUGGAGAAUCGCUGGCUGCAGCCAACCACACAGAAAAGCCACCACAGCGCCUCCAUGUGGGACAGAGGAGCUGCGCCUCGGGCUCUCAUGGCCCAGCUUGUGUGCAGUGUCUGCGUGCGUUAGUGGCAGCCGUCCGGAAGUUGUCUCCCACCCUCCGAGCCACACGCCUCGCCUUCCGCCGCCUCGGGCCUCUGCAUUCUGGCCAGAGGACAUCCAGUGGGCCACGUCCUCUGCCAAUGGGGGACUCGCCUGGCACAUCCAGGACCGGGCCAGCCUUGCUCCCGCAGAGCAAGCGCCCAGUGGGCCCCAUGCUCACCAGCCCUCUGGCUGAGGGGCUCAGUUCCCAUCCCGCCGCGGGCCUGUGCCACGGGACAGGCACAGCAUCCAGGGCCCGAGUGACAGCAUGGGUUCCUCGGGAAGUGAGGACCAGCGAGACGUGACGGCCCACAGCGGUGUCCUGGGGACGCUGGCUGUGUGCUGCCCGCUCCCUAGCAGGUGGACACGCAAUUCCCCACAGCCGACCACGCGGCACAGACUGCAGCCUUGCAGGAGCAAUGAAAGGAGGGAGAUCGCACCUCGGGCUCCAGAAACCCGCCACAGCCCCAAGGCCUCCUCCAGCCCCAGGGCCAGCGCCGCACUGCUGAGGACACACGUGUGGCCCUGGGACACCCGGAAGCUGCUGCUGGGCGCAAAGGGCCUGCUUCUUAGGACCAGGUUCAUCCUUGUGCAGCCUCUACUACCUGCCUCUCCAGCACUGCUGACUCACCAGCAGCCACAAAAAUUGUGUGUAAAAUGUUAAGCCAC